rfam:Gordonia soli NBRC 108243 DNA, contig: GS421.
GCCGGCAGUACCGCCACCUGGGCCCGAGUAAGGUGACCCUGCGCGAACGGGAAGUCGGUGCGAAUCCGGCGCUGCCCCGCAACUGUGAGGUCGAUGAGACCGCAGCCAGAUACCGCCGCGCGAACCAAGUUCUCG